rnacentral:rRNA from 1 species
AGUCGAGCGGACAGAUGGGAGCUUGCUCCCUGAUGUUAGCGGCGGACGGGUGAGUAACACGUGGGUAACCUGCCUGUAAGACUGGGAUAACUCCGGGAAACCGGGGCUAAUACCGGAUGGUUGUUUGAACCGCAUGGUUCAAACAUAAAAGGUGGCUUCGGCUACCACUUACAGAUGGACCCGCGGCGCAUUAGCUAGUUGGUGAGGUAACGGCUCACCAAGGCAACGAUGCGUAGCCGACCUGAGAGGGUGAUCGGCCACACUGGGACUGAGACACGGCCCAGACUCCUACGGGAGGCAGCAGUAGGGAAUCUUCCGCAAUGGACGAAAGUCUGACGGAGCAACGCCGCGUGAGUGAUGAAGGUUUUCGGAUCGUAAAGCUCUGUUGUUAGGGAAGAACAAGUACCGUUCGAAUAGGGCGGUACCUUGACGGUACCUAACCAGAAAGCCACGGCUAACUACGUGCCAGCAGCCGCGGUAAUACGUAGGUGGCAAGCGUUGUCCGGAAUUAUUGGGCGUAAAGGGCUCGCAGGCGGUUUCUUAAGUCUGAUGUGAAAGCCCCCGGCUCAACCGGGGAGGGUCAUUGGAAACUGGGGAACUUGAGUGCAGAAGAGGAGAGUGGAAUUCCACGUGUAGCGGUGAAAUGCGUAGAGAUGUGGAGGAACACCAGUGGCGAAGGCGACUCUCUGGUCUGUAACUGACGCUGAGGAGCGAAAGCGUGGGGAGCGAACAGGAUUAGAUACCCUGGUAGUCCACGCCGUAAACGAUGAGUGCUAAGUGUUAGGGGGUUUCCGCCCCUUAGUGCUGCAGCUAACGCAUUAAGCACUCCGCCUGGGGAGUACGGUCGCAAGACUGAAACUCAAAGGAAUUGACGGGGGCCCGCACAAGCGGUGGAGCAUGUGGUUUAAUUYGAAGCAACGCGAAGAACCUUACCAGGUCUUGACAUCCUCUGACAAUCCUAGAGAUAGGACGUCCCCUUCGGGGGCAGAGUGACAGGUGGUGCAUGGUUGUCGUCAGCUCGUGUCGUGAGAUGUUGGGUUAAGUCCCGCAACGAGCGCAACCCUUGAUCUUAGUUGCCAGCAUUCAGUUGGGCACUCUAAGGUGACUGCCGGUGACAAACCGGAGGAAGGUGGGGAUGACGUCAAAUCAUCAUGCCCCUUAUGACCUGGGCUACACACGUGCUACAAUGGACAGAACAAAGGGCAGCGAAACCGCGAGGUUAAGCCAAUCCCACAAAUCUGUUCUCAGUUCGGAUCGCAGUCUGCAACUCGACUGCGUGAAGCUGGAAUCGCUAGUAAUCGC